rnacentral:rRNA from 1 species
AACGAACGCUGGCGGCAGGCCUAACACAUGCAAGUCGAACGCUCGUAGCAAUACGAGAGUGGCAGACGGGUGAGUAACACGUGGGAACCUUCCCUAUGGUUCGGAAUAGUUCAGGGAAACUUGGGGUAAUACCGGAUAAGCCCUUCGGGGAAAGAUUUAUCGCCAUUGGAUGGGCCCGCGUCGGAUUAGCUAGUUGGUGAGGUAACGGCUCACCAAGGCAACGAUCCGUAGCUGGUCUGAGAGGAUGAUCAGCCACACUGGGACUGAGACACGGCCCAGACUCCUACGGGAGGCAGCAGUGGGGAAUAUUGGACAAUGGGGGCAACCCUGAUCCAGCAAUGCCGCGUGAGUGAUGAAGGCCUUCGGUU